rnacentral:misc_RNA from 1 species
AAGAGACGUUGCCCUUCGGGGUAUACCUCCCACCCUUUGUUUAUUAUACCUUUGUUGCUUUGGCUGGGCCCGUCCUCGGACCACCGGCUUCUGCUGGUCAGUGCCCGCCAGAGGACCUAAAACUCUGUUUGUUAAUAUUGUCUGAGUACUAUAUAAUAGUUA